rnacentral:lncRNA from 1 species
AGGUUGCCAUGACUACUGCUUUCCUUCUCAGCAAUGACAUGACAAUUGGCACAUCUGGCUGGGCCUGUGAUGUAACUAGUAAAGUAGCAUGAAGUCCUGUGGAUGCUUUAUAAUCCUGCCUGAACCAGGAAGGAGCUGUUUGAUGUUCCAGGGGAACUUGCCUUUUUUCAUCCUUUGGCUAUAUUUUCUUCACAAACUUUGUCAUUUAGUCAUGGACAAAGAUUUAGUGCUUGAUUCAAUUGAGUGGCUGCUUGUCACAAUUUUGAUCACAUGGACAGUACUGCUCUUGUUCCUGAUAAUAUUCUUCAUGAACCUAUGUGUCGCUCUCUUCCAUUUCAUUCGUAGAAAGCGCAGCUUUUUCAACAUACUUUAAAUAGAAUGUGGCCACUUUGGAUACAGCCGCAUAUCAAUAUUGGUGGAAAACAUCAAACUCACAGGCAAAUAUGAAAUCUAAAUUAAAAGAUCUC